GAGCAGUGCGGGCGGCCUAUACUGCAAGUCGAGCGAAUGGAUUAAGAGCUUGCUCUUAUGAAGUUAGCGGCGGACGGGUGAGUAACACGUGGGUAACCUGCCCAUAAGACUGGGAUAACUCCGGGAAACCGGGGCUAAUACCGGAUAACAUUUUGAACCGCAUGGUUCAAAAUUGAAAGGCGGCUUCGGCUGUCACUUAUGGAUGGACCCGCGUCGCAUUAGCUAGUUGGUGAGGUAACGGCUCACCAAGGCAACGAUGCGUAGCCGACCUGAGAGGGUGAUCGGCCACACUGGGACUGAGACACGGCCCAGACUCCUACGGGAGGCAGCAGUAGGGAAUCUUCCGCAAUGGACGAAAGUCUGACGGAGCAACGCCGCGUGAGUGAUGAAGGCUUUCGGG
rnacentral:rRNA from 1 species